UACGGGGGGAGCAAGCGUUGUUCGGAUUUACUGGGCGUAAAGGGCGCGUAGGCGGUCAGCACAAGUCAGUUGUGAAAUCUCCGAGCUUAACUCGGAAAGGUCAACUGAUACUGUGCGACUAGAGUGCGGAAGGGGCAACUGGAAUUCUUGGUGUAGCGGUGAAAUGCGUAGAUAUCAGGAGGAACACCGGUGGCGAAGGCGGCUUGCUGGGCCUUACCUGACGCUGAGGAGCGAAAGCGUGGGGAGCGAACAGG
rnacentral:rRNA from 1 species